ACCAGCCCAGAUGGACAGACUGGUAAGAGGUUGUAAUGAUGCUUCACAAGUAUCAUUAGUCAGGCAUCAAAAGUAGAGCCAGACUCUUUAAUAUAAGACUGAAUGUUUACUCCUGACUGACUUGGUUGGGAAAGACCAC